rnacentral:sRNA from 1 species
GCCAGGAGCCGUGGUGCACGCCUGUAAUCCCAGUGGCUCAGGAGGCUGAGGCAGGAGGAUCUCAAGUUCAAGCCAGCCUCAGCAAUGGUGAGGUGCUAAGCAACUCAGUGAGACCCUGUCUCUA